rnacentral:rRNA from 1 species
AUUGAACGCUGGCGGCAUGCCUUACACAUGCAAGUCGAACGGUAACAGGUCUUCGGAUGCUGACGAGUGGCGAACGGGUGAGUAAUACAUCGGAACGUGCCUAGUAGUGGGGGAUAACUACUCGAAAGAGUGGCUAAUACCGCAUGAGAUCUACGGAUGAAAGCAGGGGAUCGCAAGACCUUGUGCUACUAGAGCGGCCGAUGGCAGAUUAGGUAGUUGGUAGGAUAAAAGCUUACCAAGCCGACGAUCUGUAGCUGGUCUGAGAGGACGAUCAGCCACACUGGGACUGAGACACGGCCCAGACUCCUACGGGAGGCAGCAGUGGGGAAUUUUGGACAAUGGGCGAAAGCCUGAUCCAGCAAUGCCGCGUGCAGGAUGAAGGCCUUCGGGUUGUAAACUGCUUUUGUACGGAACGAAAAGCCCUGGGUUAAUACCCUGGGGUCAUGACGGUACCGUAAGAAUAAGCACCGGCUAACUACGUGCCAGCCGCCGCGGUAACAC